UACGUAGGGUGCGAGCGUUGUCCGGAAUUAUUGGGCGUAAAGAGCUUGUAGGUGGUUUGUCGCGUCUGCUGUGAAAAUCCGAGGCUCAACCUCGGACUUGCAGUGGGUACGGGCAGACUAGAGUGCGGUAGGGGAGACUGGAAUUCCUGGUGUAGCGGUGAAAUGCGCAGAUAUCAGGAGGAACACCGGUGGCGAAGGCGGGUCUCUGGGCCGUAACUGACGCUGGAGGAGC
rnacentral:rRNA from 1 species